AGUAAUGUCUGGGAAACUGCCUGAUGGAGGGGGAUAACUACUGGAAACGGUAGCUAAUACCGCAUAACGUCGCAAGACCAAAGAGGGGGACCUUCGGGCCUCAUGCCAUCAGAUGUGCCCAGAUGGGAUUAGCUAGUAGGUGGGGUAACGGCUCACCUAGGCGACGAUCCCUAGCUGGUCUGAGAGGAUGCCAGCCACACUGGAACUGAGACACGGUCCAG
rnacentral:rRNA from 1 species